GUGGCUCAAUGGUAGAGCAUUUGCCUUGCAUGCAUGAGGCCCUGGGUUUGAUUCCUCAGC
rnacentral:tRNA from 1 species